ACCAGCUUAAAGAUACAAGCAAUGUCAUUGAUUGGCAUGGAACACCAUUUGUUUGUGUUAAUGGAAUCGUUAUACCAUACGAACAUGAAUGUAACGGAAAAGUUGAUUGUACGGAUGUUUCGGACGAGAAUAAUUGCACAAGAGGGCAUAAAUUAUUAACAACUAUGAUUAUACCCGAGGUAGAGCCUUUAAUGUCAAGUGAAAUAUUGUUCCAUUGUGAAAGUCAUGAAUGGGUUUUGAUCAUUGCAAGAUGUGACGGUGUAAUUGAUUGUAUGGAUGCCUCUGAUGAGAAGAACUGUGCAAUAAACAGUCAGAAUUCCAACUGUGCUCAAUAUCAUUUCGAAUGCUUAACUGGGGGCUGCAUUCAUAUAAGUCAAGUUUGUGACUUUAUUUUCGACUGUCCGGACUCAUCUGACGAAAGUUGUG